GAUGAACGCUGGCGGUCUGCUUAACACAUGCAAGUCGAACGGAAUCCUUCGGGAUUUAGUGGCGGACGGGUGAGUAACGCGUGAGAAUCUGCCUUCAGGUUCGGGACAACAGCUGGAAACGGCUGCUAAUACCAGAUGUGCCGAGAGGUGAAAGCUUUAGUGCCUGAAGAUGAGCUCGCGUCUGAUUAGCUAGUAGGAGUGGUAAUGGCACCCCUAGGCGACGAUCAGUAGCUGGUCUGAGAGGAUGAUCUGCCACACUGGGACUGAGACACGGCCCAGACGCCUACGGGAGGCAGCAGUGGGGAAUUUUCCGCAAUGGGCGCAAGCCUGACGGAGCAAGACCGCGUGAGGGAAGAAGGUCUGUGGAUUGUAAACCUCUUUUGAUGGGGAAGAAGACAGUGACGGUACCCAUCGAAUCAGCCUCGGCUAACUCCGUGUCAGCCGCCGCAGUAA
rnacentral:rRNA from 1 species